GACGAACGCUGGCGGCGUGCUUAACACAUGCAAGUCGAACGAAGUGGCGAACGGGUGAGUAACGCGUAAUCAACCUGCCCUUCAGAGGGGGACAACAGUUGGACACGAAUGCUAAUACCGCAUACUGCAGGCGGGGUUUGCGUCUGCUUAGCUAGUUGGCGGGGUAACGGCCCACCAAGGCGAUGAUCAGUAGCCGGUCUGAGAUGAUGAACGGCCAAAUUGGGACUGAGACACGGCCCAGACUCCUACGGGAGGGAGCAGUGGGGAAUCUUCCGAAAUGGAGGAAAGUCUGGCGGAGCAACGCCGCGUGAGUGAUGACGGCCUUCGGGUUGUAAAGCUCUGUUAAUCGGGACGCGGUACCGGAAUAGAAAGCCACGGCUAACUACGUGCCAGCCGCCGCGGUAAUAC
rnacentral:rRNA from 1 species